rnacentral:piRNA from 1 species
UNGGUUCAGAGUGCAGCGGACAGCGUGC